GGGAAUCUACCGUGCCCUGCGGGAUAGCUCCGGGAAACUGGAAUUAAUACCGCAUACGCCCUACGGGGGAAAGAUUUAUCGGGGUAUGAUGAGCCCGCGUUGGAUUAGCUAGUUGGUGGGGUAAAGGCCUACCAAGGCGACGAUCCAUAGCUGGUCUGAGAGGAUGAUCAGCCACAUUGGGACUGAGACACGGCCCAAACUCCUACGGGAGGCAGCAGUGGGGAAUAUUGGACAAUGGGCGCAAGCCUGAUCCAGCCAUGCCGCGUGAGUGAUGAGGGCCUUAGGGUUGUAAAGCUCUUUCACCGGUGAAGAUAAUGACGGUAACCGGAGAAGAAGCCCCGGCUAACUUCGUGCCAGCAGCCGCGGUAAUACGAAGGGGGCUAGCGUUGUUCGGAAUUACUGGGCGUAAAGCGCACGUAGGCGGAUAUUUAAGUCAGGGGUGAAAUCCCAGAGCUCAACUCUGGAACUGCCUUUGAUACUGGGUAUCUUGAGUAUGGAAGAGGUAAGUGGAAUUGCGAGU
rnacentral:rRNA from 1 species